AAUUACCCAAUCCCAACACGGGGAGGUAGUGACAAGAAAUACUGAUACAGGGUUCUUAAGGAUCUUGUGAUUGGAAUGAGUACAAUUUAAACCCAUUAACGAGGAACCACUAGAGGGCAAGUCUGGUGCCAGCAGCCGCGGUAAUUCCAGCUCUAGUAGCAUACAUUAAAAUUGUUGCAGUUAAAACGCCCGUAGUUGAAGUUUGGGCUCGGUCAACUGGUCCGCCUCACCGCGUGCACUAGUAAGACUGGGUCUUUCUUUCCAAGAUUCUGCAGUUGCAUUUAUGUAGUUGUAGAUUUUUCUUGGAACUUUUACUUUGAAAAAAUUAGAGUGUUCAAAGCAGGCCUUUGCUCGGAUACUACAGCAUGGAAUAAUGAAAUAUGACGAGUGGUUGUAUUUUGUUGGUUUAUAUAACCGCCGUAAUGAUUGAUAGGGAUGGUCGGGGGCAUCGGUAUUCGAUCGUCAGAGGUGAA
rnacentral:rRNA from 1 species